UAGAGUGUAAAGGCAUAAGGGAGCUUGACUGCGAGACCUACAAGUCGAGCAGGGUCGAAAGACGGACUUAGUGAUCCGGUGGUUCCGCAUGGAAGGGCCAUCGCUCAACGGAUAAAAGCUACCCCGGGGAUAACAGGCUUAUCUCCCCCAAGAGUUCACAUCGACGGGGAGGUUUGGCACCUCGAUGUCGGCUCAUCGCAUCCUGGGGCUGUAGUCGGUCCCAAGGGUUGGGCUGUUCGCCCAUUAAAGCGGUACGCGAGCUGGGUUCAGAACGUCGUGAGACAGUUCGGUCCCUAUCCGUCGUGGGCGUAGGAAAUUUGAGAGGAGCUGUCCUUAGUACGAGAGGACCGGGAUGGACAUACCUCUGGUGUACCAGUUGUCGUGCCAACGGCAUAGCUGGGUAGCUAUGUGUGGACGGGAUAAGUGCUGAAAGCAUCUAAGCAUGAAGCCCCCCUCAAGAUGAGAUUUCCCAACUUCGGUUAUAAGAUCCCUCAAAGAUGAUGAGGUUAAUAGGUUCGAGGUGGAAGCAUGGUGACAUGUGGAGCUGACGAAUACUAAUCGAUCGAAGACUUAAUCAA
rnacentral:rRNA from 1 species